GACGAAGGGGGCUAGCGUUGUUCGGAAUCACUGGGCGUAAAGCGCACGUAGGCGGAUGUGUCAGUCAGGGGUGAAAUCCCGGAGCUCAACUUCGGAACUGCCUUUGAUACAGCACGUCUUGAGUCCGGAAGAGGUGGGUGGAAUUCCUAGUGUAGAGGUGAAAUUCGUAGAUAUUAGGAAGAACACCGGUGGCGAAGGCGGCCCACUGGUCCGGUACUGACGCUGAGGUGCGAAAGCGUGGGGAGCAAACAGG
rnacentral:rRNA from 1 species